rnacentral:rRNA from 1 species
GGGAAACCGAGUCUUAACCGGGCGUUAAGUUGCAGGGUAUAGACCCGAAACCCGGUGAUCUAGCCAUGGGCAGGUUGAAGGUUGGGUAACACUAACUGGAGGACCGAACCGACUAAUGUUGAAAAAUUAGCGGAUGAUCUGUGGCUGGGGGUGAAAGGCCAAUCAAACCGGGAGAUAGCUGGUUCUCCCCGAAAGCUAUUUAGGUAGCGCCUCGUGAACUCAUCUCCGGGGGUAGAGCACUGUUUCGGCUAGGGGGCCAUCCCGGCUUACCAACCCGAUGCAAACUGCGAAUACCGGAGAAUGUUAUCACGGGAGACACACGGCGGGUGCUAACGUCCGUCGUGAAGAGGGAAACAACCCAGACCGCCAGCUAAGGUCCCAAAGUCAUGGUUAAGUGGGAAACGAUGUGGGAAGGCCCAGACAGCCAGGAUGUUGGCUUAGAAGCAGCCAUCAUUUAAAGAAAGCGUAAUAGCUCACUGGUCGAGUCGGCCUGCGCGGAAGAUGUAACGGGGCUAAACCAUGCACCGAAGCUGCGGCAGCGACACUGUGUGUUGUUGGGUAGGGGAGCGUUCUGUAAGCCUGUGAAGGUGGCCUGUGAGGGUUGCUGGAGGUAUCAGAAGUGCGAAUGCUGACAUAAGUAACGAUAAAGCGGGUGAAAAGCCCGCUCGCCGGAAGACCAAGGGUUCCUGUCCAACGUUAAUCGGGGCAGGGUGAGUCGACCCCUAAGGCGAGGCCGAAAGGCGUAGUCGAUGGGAAACGGGUUAAUAUUCCCGUACUUGGUGUUACUGCGAAGGGGGGACGGAGAAGGCUAUGUUGGCCGGGCGACGGUUGUCCCGGUUUAAGCGUGUAGGCUGGUUUUCCAGGCAAAUCCGGAAAAUCAAGGCUGAGGCGUGACGACGAGGCACUACGGUGCUGAAGCAACAAAUGCCCUGCUUCCAGGAAAAGCCUCUAAGCAUCAGGUAACACGAAAUCGUACCCCAAACCGACACAGGUGGUCAGGUAGAGAAUACCAAGGCGCUUGAGAGAACUCGGGUGAAGGAACUAGGCAAAAUGGUGCCGUAACUUCGGGAGAAGGCACGCUGACACGUAGGUGAAGUGAUUUACUCAUGGAGCUGAAGUCAGUCGAAGAUACCAGCUGGCUGCAACUGUUUAUUAAAAACACAGCACUGUGCAAACACGAAAGUGGACGUAUACGGUGUGACGCCUGCCCGGUGCCGGAAGGUUAAUUGAUGGGGUCAGCGCAAGCGAAGCUCCUGAUCGAAGCCCCGGUAAACGGCGGCCGUAACUAUAACGGUCCUAAGGUAGCGAAAUUCCUUGUCGGGUAAGUUCCGACCUGCACGAAUGGCGUAAUGAUGGCCAGGCUGUCUCCACCCGAGACUCAGUGAAAUUGAACUCGCUGUGAAGAUGCAGUGUACCCGCGGCAAGACGGAAAGACCCCGUGAACCUUUACUAUAGCUUGACACUGAACAUUGAGCCUUGAUGUGUAGGAUAGGUGGGAGGCUUUGAAGUGUGGACGCCAGUCUGCAUGGAGCCGACCUUGAAAUACCACCCUUUAAUGUUUGAUGUUCUAACGUGGACCCGUAAUCCGGGUUGCGGACAGUGUCUGGUGGGUAGUUUGACUGGGGCGGUCUCCUCCUAAAGAGUAACGGAGGAGCACGAAGGUUGGCUAAUCCUGGUCGGACAUCAGGAGGUUAGUGCAAUGGCAUAAGCCAGCUUGACUGCGAGCGUGACGGCGCGAGCAGGUGCGAAAGCAGGUCAUAGUGAUCCGGUGGUUCUGAAUGGAAGGGCCAUCGCUCAACGGAUAAAAGGUACUCCGGGGAUAACAGGCUGAUACCGCCCAAGAGUUCAUAUCGACGGCGGUGUUUGGCACCUCGAUGUCGGCUCAUCACAUCCUGGGGCUGAAGUAGGUCCCAAGGGUAUGGCUGUUCGCCAUUUAAAGUGGUACGCGAGCUGGGUUUAGAACGUCGUGAGACAGUUCGGUCCCUAUCUGCCGUGGGCGCUGGAGAACUGAGGGGGGCUGCUCCUAGUACGAGAGGACCGGAGUGGACGCAUCACUGGUGUUCGGGUUGUCAUGCCAAUGGCACUGCCCGGUAGCUAAAUGCGGAAGAGAUAAGUGCUGAAAGCAUCUAAGCACGAAACUUGCCCCGA